rnacentral:rRNA from 1 species
GACGAACGCUGGCGGCGUGCUUAACACAUGCAAGUCGAACGGAAAGGCCCUGCUUUUGUGGGGUGCUCGAGUGGCGAACGGGUGAGUAACACGUGAGUAACCUGCCCUUGACUUUGGGAUAACUUCAGGAAACUGGGGCUAAUACCGGAUAGGAGCUCCUGCUGCAUGGUGGGGGUUGGAAAGUUUCGGCGGUUGGGGAUGGACUCGCGGCUUAUCAGCUUGUUGGUGGGGUAGUGGCUUACCAAGGCUUUGACGGGUAGCCGGCCUGAGAGGGUGACCGGCCACAUGGGGACUGAGAUACGGCCCAGACUCCUACGGGAGGCAGCAGUGGGGAAUAUUGCACAAUGGGCGGAAGCCUGAUGCAGCAACGCCGCGUGCGGGAUGACGGCCUUCGGGUUGUAAACCGCUUUCGCCUGUGACGAAGCGUGUGUGACGGUAAUGGGUAAAGAAGCACCGGCUAACUACGUG